AUUGAACGCUGGCGGCAGGCCUAACACAUGCAAGUCGAGCGGAUGAAGGGAGCUUGCUCCUGGAUUCAGCGGCGGACGGGUGAGUAAUGCCUAGGAAUCUGCCUGGUAGUGGGGGAUAACGUCCGGAAACGGGCGCUAAUACCGCAUACGUCCUGAGGGAGAAAGUGGGGGAUCUUCGGACCUCACGCUAUCAGAUGAGCCUAGGUCGGAUUAGCUAGUUGGUGGGGUAAAGGCCUACCAAGGCGACGAUCCGUAACUGGUCUGAGAGGAUGAUCAGUCACACGGGAACUGAGACACGGUCCAGACUCCUACGGGAGGCAGCAGUGGGGAAUAUUGGACAAUGGGCGAAAGCCUGAUCCAGCCAUGCCGCGUGUGUGAAGAAGGUCUUCGGAGUGUAAAGCACGUUAAGUUGGGAGGAAGGGCAGUAAGUUAAUACCUUGCUGUUUUGACGUUACCAACAGAAUAAGCACCGGCUAACUUCGUG
rnacentral:rRNA from 1 species